CGGAGGGAGGAAGGAGGAGGGAAAUCCCUUUAGUUUUGUGAUGAGGUUUUUGGUCUUUAAAGGGGGCUUUAAAACAAAGUCAUGAUUACUCUUUUGUAUGAUAAGCCCAAAUGUUAUGUAGAUUUUGUUUGCACGUUUAUUUUGAGCCAAUCACUGGGUCUUGUGUGUACAAUGUACUUAUGUAUGUAUGUAUGUUGCUGGACCUUGCUCUAUAUCUGUGUUGUAUUUGGGGAAUGUAUGCUUAGGUAUUAACUCGGUAAUGCCUUCUAAUUGUAGUGCUAAUUACAGUAGGGUUGUUUGGCAAAUUAAGUGAGAUAGUGCACCCUCCUUGAGCACCCAAUGAACUUUUACACACACACACACACACACACACACACACACACACACGUUAAUGUUAGUAUGUUUCUCUCGCCCAAUCACUUCACUUUGCUGGAACUAAAACAUGCCUUACCUCAGAGCAGUCAAUUACCAAAGCUACCCAAGAUCAUCAAUCAUGGGGGAUGCUUGAAGUUUAGGGGAGGAGCGAUGGUCAAACUAUCGAUUGCUGCACUUUUGUCCUCUCCCACCCCCCACCCUUUUUUCUCGUUCACGGUCCCCUGCACAUAAAAUCUAAAACAGACUAUCCCGUUAAUAGUGGGAUUUAUCAAUGAUUAUGUAUGUACCCAGUUGUGAAUGUGGCCUCAUACAUAGAUGGCUUUUAAACAUACACCGAAAAAAAAAUGUAUUUGAAUCAGUUAGGGAUUGUUUAUUAUUGUUAUUUUAAGAUUUUUGGAAACUAACUAACUGAAUGAAUAAAAAAACCCAAAGGGUAAUUAUAGAAAUUUGGCUAGAUUUUAAUGGGCAUAGAGAAUGAGCUCCAGAGGUCAAUAAACCCCUCGAAAAUGAUGAAUGAUUGAGUACCUGUGAUGAUGAUAGUGAUUACCGGAGCAAUUAAACAGUUUGAUUAAAUGAGCCAUCAUAACAAUGAUGUCUGCGGGAAAUCAGCCCUCACAUAUAAAGAAAGAUAGUGUGGAGGGCUGACAAACGCCAGUGGGCAUUCCUACGAGUUCUGAUAGUGGUGAGCCCUGCAGAGCAGACUGUAUUUACAAAUAUGAGAGCAAUAUGGAGAAAAGUCACUCAGAUACUUUUAGCCAGACUUGCACCCUGCUUAAAAAGCGUCAGAAGCCGAAGAGCAGACCGGUUAUUUUCCCCCUAGAGGAUCUCCUCCAAGAUUAAAGCUAGCUCUAAGAGCAACCGAUAUUCUGUGACUGACUUUCACGGGACUAUAAAGAAAGAUUAGACCAAAGUCCAAAGAGAAAUUAGGUGUCCGGUAUGGAAGUGCAUCUCCGUCAACAGCCAGCUCCUUUUGCCGAGGCUGGAAAUGGUUUUAACAGGCGGUAAAAUUUCAUCUUGUGGUGUCAAAUUGGGGUCAGUUUGGGGUUAGAGCUCUCAGUGUCCGAGAAGGAGCUGUCCAGCUGCGUGGGGACUCAUUAAGGGCAAAAGAUCCGUUUCAAGAAAAACAAAACAAAGACAAUCAGAGGGCUAAAGAUCCUCUUCAAAUCGCAUUUUACAAGUGCACCAGAACAAAUAUGGACGCUGAAACCCAUUCCUUUCAAACUCCCAAAUCGGCUUCUUAGCUCUUGGAGGGAGUGAGAGAGAAAAUCCGCUAAAACUUAGAGUCUGUUUUCAAUCAGCCUUUCCGAAGCAUCUUAGCCUUUUGCUGGCUUUGAGAUCUGCCUCUAUUUCUGAGAACCCCUGCAAAAACCGGAGUUGCACAACAGGUUACUGGGAAGCUUCAAAAUAACACUGCCAUGGAAGGGCUAAUGCAGCUAUCAAAUGCCGCUCACAAGGUGGAUGAAGAGGAACUAGAAGAGACAACAAAUAGGCUCAUCAAAUCUCAGGCUAUCACUACAUCCAUGACCAAUUUCAGGGUACCUAAGAAAGUCUAGAGAGCUGUAUUGAUUAUGAAUUAUGCUGGCAAUUGUAUGUUUUUAAAUAAAAUAAUGAUGGCGUCAAAGGACAUGGAUAUAGAAUGAAGUGACUUUACUCUUCAAAGCAAACAAUGAAGUUUCAUGUCUAGGCAGCUCAUUGUAUUCAGAGACUUUAAUUACUCAGAGCUUCUUCCCUCACAGAUAGCUGAUAAGACUCAAAGGGCAAAAACCCAUCUCUGGUGUACUCCACUGACUUCAAUAGUGUUCCACCGGGGAUGGAUUGGCCUAAGUGUUUCUGGCAGGAUUAUGCUAAUAUAAUAAUAUUUAUAAUAAACUGCAUGCAGAAAGCCAGGGAACCAGAGAUUUGACCUCUGCUAAUCAAGUAGAUCUGCACACUCCAAAAGAUCUGAAAAUCAUCUUGUAGGUCUCAUCUGCUAGAGCAGAAGAUGCCGUUGAAGGGAAUCGGCCUUCCAGCUGUGCUUCCCUUCAGGCAAUCCCCUCCAUAUGAUGAUAGCCUUCAAUAUUUUGGGGUCCAAACCUACAGACAAAACUCCCAUUGAUUUAAAUGAGAUUUUUGCCUGACUGAGGAAUACAGGACAGGGCUGUCUACCUGGUCCUGCAAGAGCAGAGCACCCCAUGAAAAGUGCUGAGUAUGCCUAAUUCCCACUGACUUUAAUAGGAAUUCUGGACCUUCAGCACACAGUAAUAAGUUCCUGGCACCUCACAGGAUCAGGUCCUUAAUUAGUAUUUUAGCUAUUGUCAGUCAUCGUUUUUGUAUGACAUGUUUUCAACACCAUCUCUGGUAUUAUGAAGUGCAUGAUACAUGCUGCAGUUUAAAAUGUUUUCCACAUCUGCAGAAAUAAACAGGCUUCUUAAGUGAUGAAACAAGAUUAAACAACAAUAUACUAAUAAAUUUCUUAUAAAGCAAGUAUACACAAAUUUAUAAACCUCCUAGUAUUACAUCAUUUGCAAUUAUAACUCAUCGCUAAUAGUUCUAUUGAUUAGUGGCAUAAAAAGCUCUAGUAGAAGCAGUUCUUUGGAGUAGAGAAAUAUAACAAUAAAAAAACCCCCAUAAGAAGUGUUUGUCCCAUACUCUUACCUUGAGGCCAUAUUACAAUCACAGUAAGACAUAUCCAGGCAUGUGUCACACUGGAUAAUACUAUUUCUUGGGUGUUUGAGGGCACUUGGCUUUACCUUGUACUUCACAACAGCUGAGCCAUGUCACUUAGCUGCAUGAUCCUGGCUCUAGUGGAAAAAAUUACUAAGCUAUAUAAAUUUAUAAUUAUUUUACAUUAAAUACUCAAAAUAUUUCAUUUACAGCAUUCACACACAAUGUUUAAAUAAACAUGUUUUCCAAAGUUUUUCUCUUGGUGGAAGAGCUGAUCAAAUUAUUCAUUUUGAAUACACACUAGCUGGUCAAUAUAGUGCUAUUUUCUGUUCUCAAAUGCAUUAUUAUUGAUAUGUGUUAUGAUAGCACCUAGAAACCUCAAACAAGGAUCAGGGCCCCAUAAUCAAUCCUUAUUUUUGUGAAAGUAUUCAUUACUUGCAAGUAUUUAGCAAGAAUAGUUUAGGCAAACAAAUUUCAGUCUAUGGGCCCUUUGCAAAAUGUUCAUUUAGACUUUUUGCAAUUCAUUAUUCUUGAUGUAUGACUGGUUACCUUAGUCACAUGGUAUUAGUUCUGCUCUCCAACUGGUUGGCUGAAGUUUUUUAAACAGGAGGUUAACAGCAAAAAGCAAUAACAAAUAUUCACACCUGAUUCUGCUUCCAUUUAAGUCAAUAAAAGCACAAAGGACACCCAUCGCACCCAUUUGUGAGAUGAACAUCUGUUUGUAUGAAUGUUCACAUAUAGUGAGUAAAAAGGGAUACAAACAUGACAAACUAAACUGCCAGUUGGAAUCUGAACACCUGUUUCCAAAUAUAGUUUUGCAGUAUGAAAUCAGUUCUAUUUUUUGUGAAGACAGUAUAAUUACAAUUCUACAACAUUAUUAUAAAGAACCAAAAGUCAUGAGAAUUGUCCUAAUUUUCUUCCCCUACCUAGGUUUAACUCCAAAUUAUUCUGUGUUACAAAUGGGUCUUGUUUUUGGAGCAAGAAGAAUAUUGUUUGUACCAGAGGCAGAUGCUCCUUGAUCUGUUGUUUUCAGAUUUCAGCCAUUGAUAAGGUGUUGGCUGCAGCCUAUAUGUUCAGGAUAACAGUUUGAUCUGAGAAUAAAUAUCUAAAGGAGUUUUUAGUGUUUGAGGGUGCCAUUCAAUUUCUUACCUCCCCCAACAUAAAUGGAAAAAUAUAUAUAAAGGGCUUGGUCCUGCAUUUCUUGUGCAUUGAAAAUUCCUAUUGACUUUACUGGGAGUUAUGAAUGUGCAAAUGUUGGGUCCUUAUUUUCAUGGAAACUACUAUAUUUCUAUAUUGUUAUUUUUUACAGUUGUAAAACUCUGUUUUGUGUCUACUGCCACUGUACAAAAAGAAGAAGAAAUGAAGUAUUUAUUGUACCCAAGAGCAAAAUAUUGUAUUAUCAAUAAGUACAAAUGGUUCCAAAUCAUGGAUUUCCAAUUCAAAUGCAGAUCUGAACUGCUGUAAAGUUUGAAGGUGUUAGGAUAAAGGGUUUUAAUUCAGGCCUUUCUCCCCUACUAAAGUAAUAAAUAGAAAUUGCUGUUGUUACAAAGAAACACAUUUGCAAAAAAUACUGAUGAGUUUGAAUGUGAAGUCAGCAGGGGGGAAAGACAGGAAAAAUAAUUGGGUCUGAGUCUCUUCUCUGGUGUAAGCUAGGAGUAACUCUACUGAAGUUACUGGACUUUCACUGGUGUAAAGCUGGUGUGAGGGGAGAAUCAGGGCACUUGUGUUUAAAUAGAUGGAAUUACUUUAAGAGGACUUCUAAGAAAACAAUGUGCAAAUAAAUACAAAACAAAAGGGAAAAUAUAGAGACAUAUUACCUUUUUUGCAUGCAUGCUUAUUUGUAAGUGCAAAUUAGAUUUGAAUAUUCAUGAUUCACAAAUCAUUGACAGUUUGAAAUAAUGCAAAAUGAGGUUAAGGCAAGGGACAUCAAAUAAAUGCAUCACUAAAUCAAUAGCAAUUUGAUUGCGCAUAUACUUGUAAAUUGCCAUUACAGUUUUUGACAUAGGAGAAAAAAAUGCUGUGCAUGUGGUGAAGGAGGACACAUAAAUACUCUUUUUGUAUGUGUUUAUAUUUUUGCAGUUCAGCAUGUACUUGGAUAACUGCUGUGUAUAAAGUGACCAGACAUAACUUUAUUUUUUUCAAGACAGUUACAGUUUCUUUUGCUUAUCCCAUCUCUUGUAUUGUUUUGCUUAGUAUGUUAAAAAUUCAAUUUUCAAUAUACCCGAACAACAAUGUUGUAAAAUAAAGCGAUUGCUUACUGCAGAUGGUUUCAGAAGCAGGCUCACCUGCUAAUCAAAGUACUAUCAUAAAAUCAUGUUCAGUGGAGAUUAUCCACUUGUUUCAGGGAAUUUUGUUCUAUGAAGUGGGAGUGAGUUGCAAGUCUCAGGGCAAAUUGCUGGAGUACCGGGCUUUAAAAUAAUGACAGAUUGAAAGAUGGCCAACCUAACCAUUUAAAUCAGAGCUUUUUCAUUUUGCCCUUCUGUAAGCAUCAAUAAAGUAUUGGAUCUCUGUCUCACUUGUGAGCUUUGUGGCUCUUUAAAAUGGAAUAGUUUAAAAUGUUGAUGAGUAUAUAGAGCCAAAAGGUAAAACUGCUGAAUAUAAGCACUCAUUUAAAAAUUACUCCAAUGUAUUUGUUUCUCCUAAAUGUUCCUACUUUGAUUACUAAACACAAACUGUAAGAUAUUAGCCAGCACUCUUUCUUCAGUGUCCUCCGUGGUUUCCCUGUUCUCCAAGAUAACUGAUGAAGGGAUAUGUAAUGGGUCAAGUGAAGUUAUACAUACA